AGCCUCAAAAGUAAAGCAGGGUUCGGUAAUUUCAUUUUAGCGUCGCUAGAGUUAAAAAAGUUAACGCUCGGUGACUGAAAACUUGGUGCAUGUGAGCUUUUCGUCAUAGCCUUCUUUAAUGGUAGAAUAAACGAAUGCGCACGCGGACACGUGCGUUGAAAUAACGUAAACAAAAGUUUGUGUAGCCGCGGGAGUUCCGCCGUUCCGGUCUUGUUUGAAAAAUGGGUCGUUGUUGUGCUCUGAAGUGCCGGAACAGAGCUUCCAGGGGAAUUCGCUUGUUCAAGCUGCCGAAAUCCCCGAGGAGACGGAAACUGUGGCUUUCAGGAAUCAAGCGUGGCGCGGGGUGGAAAUUUCCCGACAGAACGUACCUUUGCGAGGACCACUUCGAGCCCUCCCAGUUCCAGACGAGGUGCUCUGACGGCUGGAGGAGGCUAAAAGCCACAGCUGUUCCGAGCUUGUUUCUGCAUUCUGAAAGUCAACAACCAGCGGCCAGGACCUCCGGAGCGACCCUGCAGGUCGGCCUGCU